GAUGAACGCUAGCGAUAGGCUUAACACAUGCAAGUCGAGGGGCAGCAUGGUCUUAGCUUGCUAAGACUGAUGGCGACCGGCGCACGGGUGCGUAACGCGUAUGCAACUUGCCUCACAGAGGGGGAUAACCCGUCGAAAGACGGACUAAUACCGCGUACACUUCAGGAGGGCAUCUUCCGAAGGAAAUGAAAUUCGCUGUGAGAUAGGCAUGCGUCCCAUUAGCUAGUUGGUGAGGUAACGGCUCACCAAGGCAACGAUGGGUAGGGGAACUGAGAGGUUGAACCCCCACACUGGUACUGAGACACGGACCAGACUCCUACGGGAGGCAGCAGUGAGGAAUAUUGGUCAAUGGGCGAGAGCCUGAACCAGCCAAGUCGCGUGAAGGAUGACUGUCUUAUGGAUUGUAAACUUCUUUUGUAGGGGAAUAAAGAGGGGCACGUGUGCCUCAGUGAAUGUACCCUACGAAUAAGCAUCGG
rnacentral:rRNA from 1 species